AGCACAGUAGAAUGCUAAAUUUUGUCGCAGGGAAUGAACUCUAAGCACAAUGGAGUCAAAACACUUACCAUUUUGGUUGAAGAGAGCAUCCAAAUUUCUCGUGGGGUGGUAACCAAAAUCAAUUUCAAAAUCAUAAUAGAUCCCUAGGGACAAUUUCAGCAGAACAAGAAAAUUCAGUUGGAAGAGAUGUUCGCGGAGUUCACGGAAAAGACCAAUAGAUACAUAGAAGCAAAUAAUCAAUUCAUGAGGAAGACUGAAAUAACUUUCCAAAAUCAGGGUGCUGCAACUAAGAACCUGGAAACGCAGGAAGGACAGAUGGCACUUUCUAUGACGAAAAGAACACUAAGUAUUUUGCCAAAUAAUACUGACAUGAAUCCCAAAGAGCGUGUUCAAGCAAUUGCUAUAAGAAGUGGGGUUCAAUUACUAGAGAUCGGUGUGAAGACACCGGGUAUAGACAAAGAAAUAAUACCUUCUUCUGAUGAGGAGCAGACUGGCCAGUCCACAGAAGCAACUAUCAACGAGAGUUUAGAUACACCAUAGGCAAAAGCAACCGCUCCUAUAAAUCGACACGAGCCCCCAAUUUCAUUCUUUUAGAGAUGGAAGAAGCAUAAGAUGGAUCAACAAUACAUGGAAAAUUUUGGAGGCUUUCAAGAAACUUCACAUAAAUA
rnacentral:rRNA from 1 species